UACGUAGGGUGCAAGCGUUAAUCGGAAUUACUGGGCGUAAAGCGUGCGCAGGCGGCUUUGCAAGACAGAUGUGAAAUCCCCGGGCUCAACCUGGGAACUGCAUUUGUGACUGCAAGGCUAGAGUACGGCAGAGGGGGAUGGAAUUCCGCGUGUAGCAGUGAAAUGCGUAGAUAUGCGGAGGAACACCGAUGGCGAAGGCAAUCCCCUGGGCCUGUACUGACGCUCAUGCACGAAAGUGUGGGGAGCAAACAGG
rnacentral:rRNA from 1 species